CAAUGACGCUUGCUUUCUUCCCUCUUUAUACCGAGCUCCUUCAGAACCUGAAGAAUGUCACACAAUAGACCUUCUCGGUAUGUGGUUCAGGGUCCCUGGAGUCCAGGGAAGUUCGUCAACAAAUGUAGUUAUGAUUGGAGACAUCGUCAUUUUUCAAGAUCAACUGCUGAAACCUAACCAAGGGAGCUGGUGUAUCACCAAAGUAUGGCUUCCACAUCUAAUAACUUUGAUCUCUUCAAAUAGAAACACCUCCCUUCUGCAGAUUCAACCAGAAAACAUGAGACAAGAGUUCUACUAGCUUUGUGCCACUAGAUUCUCCAAAACCGAACGACAACAAUUGGACAAGUAUUACACAAUAAUCUCAAUGAAUUUGAGAAUCAAGAACAGGCCAAGCAACAAACUGAAACCUUUUCAACGAUCUAUAAAGCAGAGGCAUAUAUCUGGUGGUAAAAUUUUCCCUCUGGUUGAAAUAGCUACUACCUAAAGCCUCAAGCUGGGAGUCCGUAAACAAAGAGAGAGUUUUGAAUUUAAAACACCAAUAACCGGGCAUUUGGUCUAGUGGUAUGAUUCUCGCUUUGGGUGCGAGAGGUCCCGAGUUCGAUUCUCGGAAUGCCCCCAUUGACUUUUUGUAAAACAUAUGCUCUAAAUGCAAGCUGGAAAUUUCUUAGAAAAUCAAUCUUGAUUUAUUCAUAGUUUUUUCACAGAUCUUGUUAAAACUACGGACCAAAACUUUAUCAUUCACUUCAGCAAGAGAAAAUAAAAAAACAGAAAUGGCCUUAAAGUUUGAUUAUUAACUGCAUAAGGUAAAGAAAAAUAACAUAAUAACAUACCGUUGUUUCACGUCCAAUUAGUAUAUUAGUCUUUUUAACCAGUAAACUUCAUACAGUUCGCCAAAUACAUCAAGAUUGAGCUGCAGAAAGAGCAAAAGAAUUAUGAAUACGCAUCUAACGAAAGAGCAAAGGGAAGCAAAUAUUUUCGUAAAGAAAAACAAAAUGCAAGUAGAAUGCUUUAACAAGAUAUAAAAACAGGGCAUUUGGGCUAGUGGUAUGAUUCUCGCUUAGGGUGGGAGAGGUCCCAAGUACAAUUCUCGGAAUGCCUCGUUCACUUCUUCAAAGUUUUUGUUCUAAAAACUAUUUCAAGAAAGGGGAACGAAACAAAAAGAAUGCUUUGACUGAAUAACGCCAAUAACCGGGCAUUUGGUCUAGUGGUAUGAUUCUCGCUUCGGGUGCGAGAGGUCCCGAGUUCGAUUCUCGGAAUGCCCCCAUUGACUUUUUUCUUAGUAAAUGUAUCCAACCCAAACUAAAAUAUGUAUGACGAAAGAAAAUUUUUCGGGCUCAAAUGCAAAACAUGCAUUUCAAACGCAGUUUCAGAAAAAGGAUUAGAAAUCAGGAACCAGCUUUUAGAUAGUGAAAACCCCAAAAAACAGCAAGGGAAAGCUUCCAGUUUGAGAGAGCAGCAAAUGAUUUUUUCAAUGGAUUCUUAUUGUGGUAUUAGUCAAUAACCAAGAAUAUGGUAUAGCAGCAUUAUCAAGUCAUAUAUUAAGAUCACAAGGAAUCAAACUACUUGAGAAACUAGGACAAGAGGACUAUUCUCUUCUAAUAAUAUUGCGCUGAAAUUUUUCCAUCCAGAGUACAUUGCAAGCAAGAAUUCCUCUUUAAAAAGAAAAUGCAAGGGAUCAUAUCAUUGGAAUUUCAGUUUAAAGAGAUCUUAUAGAAGAGAUCUAGGAACAUCCUAUUCAAACUAAAUCAUAUAGGAAAAGUCAACUAAGAGGAUGAGAUCACAAUAUGAUCAAAUAUAGUGAUCUUCCACGUUUUAACUAAGUUGUAUAAAAACAGGGCAUUUGGUCUAGUGGUAUGAUUCUCGCUUUGGGUGCGAGAGGCCCCGAGUUCGAUUCUCGGAAUGCCCCCAUUGCCUUUUUUUAAAACCAUAUGUUAUAAGUUUCAGUUCAGGGCAUCUGGUCUAGUGGUAUCAUUUUUCCAACCCAAAAUGAGAUAUGUAUGAACAAAGAAGUUCCUUAUUUUCUCUUUACUGCAAACCGUACAUUUCAAAUAACGAAAAUGCAAAUGAUCAUUUUAAUUGGAUUUGAAUCGAAACAGAUCUCAUAGAUUACACUAACGAAACUUCUUUAAACACUAAAAUAUUUCUUUAGUAGUCAACUAAAAGAACAGAUCUGAAUGUGACCAAAUCCUAAAUGGUUUAACAACAUUGCUUAACAAGAGGGCAUUUGGUCUAGUGGUAUGAUUCUCGCUUUGGGUGCGAGAGGUCCCGAGUUCGAUUCUCGGAAUGCCCCCAUUCUGUUUUUGUAAAAAAAAUAUUCUAAAUGCCAGCUAACACUUAAUCAAUAUUAAGUUACAAACAAUCCACUUUUACUGUUAAGCCCCGAAAGUCAACUGAUAGAACUAGAUCUAAAGCGUUAUUUCUUUCUUAAAUUAUCUUAACAAGAAAACAUUCUAAUGUCAUAGUCAAUUAUAAAAUCAAAAACAGUUUGAACUUACUGCAUGUUGCCAGCUUCAUCACGAAUAGAAUCCUUGAAAGGUAAAUCCUCAAAGAGUAAAUUUCCUGUCAUAACAGAGUGAAGCAUGAUGAAUCUCUUAGGAUUAAAUAAGAAAACAAUGCUUCAAUGGGAUAAAUCAACAUAGGGCAUUUGGUCUAGUGGUAUGAUUCUCGCUUUGGGUGCGAGAGGUCCCGAGUUCGAUUCUCGGAAUGCCCCUUUGACUUUUUUUUUUAAAGUAUGUGACCAAUAUUCAAGCAGAAAAUUAAAUCGAAAAUUAAGAUCUUCACUUAGUCCUAGUUCUGUCACAGAUCUUGAUCCAUCUAAGAACCAUAUAUUACCCAUUUAUUUCAGCAAGAGAAAUAAUUAAGUGCACAAUGCAAAGGACAAGAAGAACAUACCGCUCUUUCACAUCCAAAGUAAUAAAUCUUAACCAGUAAUCUUCACAUAGGAUCAAGUUUUGUAAGCAGCCCGAUCACAACGAAUGAGCUGGAGAACAAAAAGAAUCUUGAUUAUCUACUGGAAAGGCAACGGAGCAACAAAUCUUCGAAUGAAAAGAGAGAAUGCUAAUAGGAGGCAUUAACUACACAACAUAAUAAAAAUAGGGCAUUUGGUCUAGUGGUAUGAUUCUCGCUUUGGGUGCGAGAGGUCCCGAGUUCGAUUCUCGGAAUGCCCCAUUGACAUUUUGUAAAACAUCUGAAAGAUAGUAAAGAAAAUGGUGGAACACCAAAGUUUCGAUUUUACAUCCAAUGACUUGAUCUCUUCAAUCAGACAACACCUCCCCUUCUGCAGCUUCAACUAGGAAACAUUUCGUACUUCAGCCUCUUUUUCAAAAAAAGUCUAGAAGACCACAAAAAGUAUUUCAACCAGAUUUUGUAAACAACAGGGCAUUUGGUCUAGUGGUAUGAUUCUCGCUUAGGGUGCGAGAGGUCCCGAGUUCAAUUCUCGGAAUGCCCCAUUUAACUUUUUGUAAAACAAUGUUCUAAAUGCCAGCUAACAGUGUCAGUUCAUCAAUAUUAAAUUACAGACAAUCCAUUAAGCCCUGAAAGUCAACUAAUAGAACUAGAUCUAAAACAUAGUUUCUUUCUUAGAUUAUCUAAACAAAAAAGCAUUCUAUAUCAGAUUCAAAUAUAUAAGUUAAAGAAUUCGAACUUACUGCAUGUUGCCAGCUUCAUCACGAAUAGAAUCCUCAAAAGGUAAACAAACCCCCCAAGACUAAAUUUCCUGUAAUAACGGAGUGAAGCAUGAAUUCUCUUUUCCACAGGAUUACACAACAACAAAAUGCUUCAAUGGGGACAUUCAAAUACAGGGCAUUUGGUCUAGUGGUAUGAUUCUCGCUUUGGGUGCGAGAGGUCCCGAGUUCGAUUCUCGGAAUGCCCCAUUGAAUUUUUUAACGUAGUUGCUCUAAAUUCAAGCAGACAAUUGCCUCGGAAAUCAGAUCUCUAUUAAGUCCUAGUUCUAUCGCAGAUCUUGAUACAAGUAAAAACCAUAUAUUACCUUUCAGUUGCAGCAAGAGAAGUUAUUAAGUACUUAAUGCAAAGGAAAAGAAGAACUUACCGCUAUUUCACGUCCCAUCAAUAAAUCUUUUCAACCAGUACCCUUCAUAUAGAGAGGACCAUCAUGUACUGCAAGCAUCCAGAUUCACAAAGAAUGAGCUGGAGAAACACAAAAAGAAUUUCUAUCAAGUAUCUACCGAUAAAGCAAACGGAGCAACAAAUCUCCGAAUGAAAAGAGAGAAUGCUAAUAGGAGGCAUUAACUGAACAACAUAAUAAACACAGGGCAUUUGGUCUAGUGGUAUGAUUCUCGCUUUGGGUGCGAGAGGUCCCGAGUUCGAUUCUCGGAAUGCCCCUUUGGAUUUUUGCAACACAUAUGCUCUAAAUGCCAGCUAAGACUUUUUGCAUACAAUCUCUACUUGCUACCGGAUUUUUCACAGAUCACAUACAUCAUUUGAACAAUGUUGAUUUACUUAAAAGUAACUCCCCACCAACAUCGAUUCACAAACAAUCCACCAAAAAAUCAACUGAUAGGUCUCAGUAACAGCUUCAAGAUACAGAAAUAAAAUAGACUGAAUGUAAACCAAUUAUAUAAGUUUCCAGAUUCAUCAAAGCACGAGACCCUUCAAUAGGAAUUAGGACAAGCCUUGGGUGUAAAUUUACAAUGGAAAGUUCAUUCCUUUUUCAACAAAUCAUUUUAAACACCAAAAACAGAAUGCUUGAACCCAAUUACAUCGGCAACAAAGCAUUUAGGACAAGUUACGGAGGCCCUAGGUUCUAUUCAAAGAAUGCCCUUCAUUGAGUUUCAAGCAUAAGGAGGUCUAAUAGGCAGCUCAAAAUUAUAGGACACAGAGACAUUUCAGCCUUAAUUUUAACCUAGGAGAGGCGAUAACUAAGCAACAUACAUCUACAUUACAUUCUUAGCGAUAGGAAAAUACCUACAAAAGCAUUGAAGAGCAAAUACGUGCCCACCUAAGAAGAAGAAACGCAUAACGCGCCACUGAUUGAUUCUCGCUUUAAGCUGUAACGAUUCUCCAAACUCCGCGAAACCUCACGCCAAAGAAGAAAUUUAUCCAACAUUUCAGGUGGACACACUCUAAUCGCUAUAGGCGAAAGUUUUUGGUUUAGGACUUUUGUCGAACAACUGGUGGGCGGGUGCCUCGUGAAUCAGCAAAUCAACCGGACAACGAAUAAUACAAUGGAUACGCUAACAUCUGUUCGAAACCACGAGCGUGAAUCUUUCUAUAUAGCUGGUUUAACUAACCCGAAA
rnacentral:lncRNA from 1 species